rnacentral:lncRNA from 1 species
UGUUUUGUGACUUUGAUCAGUUUUGCACAUUGAUCUCACAGGAUUUCACUGGAACUAGAGGAGAAAUGGAAAUCAGCCAGAGAACCUGAGCAAAUGAAAGGGAUUCCGGCAGUAGGGAAGAAGAGAAGCUGCAGCUACAUGGAAAUGGAAGCCUCAUGUACAUGCAUGUGUCAUAGGAACUGAGGCAAGUGCCUUUUUUGCUUUCCUGAGCUGUAGUGAGCACAACUUAGCCCAAAUGGUAAGGUGUUGGACAUGAUGCUGGAAAUUGCUGCUGCCAUUCUUGCCGCAUGAAGUCAGCCAAAUAAAACAAAGCUGAUGUAAGAAGAAAGCAGAGUCAAAUUAUACACAAAGACAGACGGAACUCUGAUGAUGAUGUCACAAACCUACAUACACUACAGUUGUAAUCUGUAUUUAAGAUUGCUAAAGGAAGAAACAAAGCAGUUAAUUACCUGGGGAACUUCUGCAGAACUCCUGAAAAUGGAUGCUACAUUGCUAAAAGUAUUUUGAGCUCUGUCAUCUAAAGUAAAGAUAGUAAAUACAUGGCCCAGGAUGAGCCCAGGACAAAUUCCAGUUCUCAAUCACAGUAUGUUUUCCUGCUAAUCCUGGAUUGUGCCUCAGAAUCAUUCUCAGUACCGUGUUCCGGGUAGCUUCUACCAAUAGGUAAGAGUUGCCAAGUGAUGUGAAAUCAACUUGCCAUUUUUGCUUUAAUGAGAAUGUAAACCUGGUGUUUCCAUUGGUUGAGUUUUUCUAAUUUUGGUUCCUCUCCUUAA